rnacentral:rRNA from 1 species
AGAACGAACGCUGGCGGCGCGCCUAACACAUGCAAGUCGAACGAGAAUCCGGGGCAACCUGGUAGUAAAGUGGCAAACGGGUGAGGAAUACAUGGGUAACCUGCCCUUGAGAAGGGAAUAACCCGCCGAAAGGUGAGCUAAUACCCUAUACGCUCCUUUUUUUACGGAAAGGGAAGGGAAGCUAAGCCGAGGGCUUGGCACUCAAGGAGGGGCUCAUGUCCUAUCAGCUUGUUGGUGGGGUAACGGCCUACCAAGGCUACGACGGGUAGCUGGUCUGAGAGGAUGAUCAGCCACACUGGCACUGAGAUACGGGCCAGACUCCUACGGGAGGCAGCAGUGAGGAUAUUGCCCAAUGGACGCAAGUCUGAGGCAGCGACGCCGCGUGGUGAGAAGGCUUUCGGGUCGUAAAGCCUUUCUGUGUGACGAGAACGGACGGUAGCACAGGAAAAGUCUCGGCUAACUACGUGCCAGCAGCCGC